UACGUAGGGUGCGAGCGUUAAUCGGAAUUACUGGGCGUAAAGCGUGCGUAGGCGGUUCUCCAAGUCCGUUGUGAAAGCCCCGGGCUUAACCUGGGAACUGCAUUGGUGACUGGCAGGCUUUGAGUGUGGCAGAGGGAGGUAGAAUUCCACGUGUAGCAGUGAAAUGCGUAGAGAUGUGGAGGAAUACCGAUGGCGAAGGCAGCCUCCUGGGCCAACACUGACGCUCAUGCACGAAAGCGUGGGGAGCAAACAGG
rnacentral:rRNA from 1 species